GUUCGAUUUAGCUUUCACUUAUAAGUUUAAGGUUUGUUUUGGACUUUUUACUGCCUGGCCCAGGAGGCGAAGCACGCGGGCCGUGCCCAGUUCUGCUCCGGCGUUUGGAUUAAAGAAAAUAAAAGGCGUUUCUUAUCCCGUCGAGUGUUCCACGGCGGCGUGCCUCCAUCCCCUCCGGCCUCUCACCCCGACCCCGGCGGCACCGGCGGCCGUAAGUUUCUUCCUCACCUCUUCCCUAGUUAAUUUCUUCCCGAUUUUCCGGAUCCGCGACGUCGAAGGCUUCUUCCUCCCUCGGAUUUCCGCUCAGUCCUCGGAUUUCCCGUCACUCCUCGGAUCUCCCUGCAGUCCAAGUUCCGGCCGGUGUCGGAGACGAGACGGCCUGUAGAUAUAGAUGGAGGAGAGGGCGGAGGAGAUCGAUCUGAGCAAGCCGAGGCUGCGCGCGAUGGGGAAAAAGCUACCCCCUUCUACUCCGACGGCGGGAAGGCGGCGCAAAGGUCCCUCCUUGGUCCCCCUCUCCGCCUGCAAGCGCCGGCGGACCCCUGAGGCAAGCGGCUGGGCUUCCCUCCCCACCGAUGUAGUUCACCUCGUCACCAGCCGCCUGCUGGCCGGCGACGUGGUGGACUACAUCGUCUUCCGGGCCGUCUGCUCCGGCUGGCGCAGCUGCACGAGCGACGCCCGCGACCCCACCCUGAGCAGACCGGACCUCUGGCUGCGCGGCUGGGUCGCCCUCUGCGACGGCGACGGGGUACGCCCGGACGACGCCGGCGAGAUCGGCUUCUUCCACACGCGGACAGCCAGGCGCCUCCGCGUCCGCCUACCGGAGCUCCGGCGCCACAGGAUCAUCGGUUUAACCCAGGGACUGAUCAUUCUUCUGAACAAACGCACCGCCGCCGUCCGGGUGCUGCAUCCCUUCACGCGGGUCGUGGUCGACCUCCUGUCCCUCGUCCCCGUGUUCCACGACGCUGUCAGGAACCGGAACUCUGUGCUUGACAUGAAUGCCGCGGUCUGCAGCGCGUCCGCGACCUCCAUUGCCGUGGUGGCAUGGUUCCCGUGGACACAUGUGCUGAUCGGCGCCGAGGCUGGCCGCCCAACUUGGGAGGUCCUCCACCGAGGGCUCUUCCUUAAAAGCAUCUUGCCCUUCCAAGGAAGGCUUUACGCGACGGUCGCCAUGGGUGGCUCAAGGAAGAUCAUGCAGCUGUACCCGAGAUCACCACAUCCUGUGCUUGCUCGUGUUCCAAAUGAUUUUGGUGAUCAGGGGCUAUGUGGCUACUUCCUCGUGGAGUCCGGUGGGCAGGUGCUGCUUGCCGUCCACCAUUUAACUGCACAACAUUGUGGCGCGGAGCCCUUUCAGCAACAUGCCUAUAAGCUAUUUGCGUUGGACAUCGACCGCGGUGAGCUGAUCCCAGUGAACUGCCUCGGUGGCCACGCGCUGUUCCUCAGCAGGGACCGGUCCCUCUCUGUUUCAGCCAGGGACCUCCCUUCUGUGAACAGCAACUCCAUUUACUUCUCUUUGCACCGUGACCCUGUUGUGGUGCACUCCGUAAGGACAGGUUUCUCUGAGCGGCUAGCAGUGUCAUGCCAAAUACAUGACGGGAAGGAUAGGAUCCGACCCUCCGUGCGCCCUUUCACCAUUGCUGACCAUCUUCUAACCUACUGCCAUCCUCAUGAGUGGACAAAAGGACUCAUGUUUCACGAGUACCACUCUAUACCUGAAUCUUUCGAGGAAUUGAGGAAGAACAUCAAGGCAAAAGAUUCUAAACUACGGAUUCCCCGCGUUGCAGUUUGUUGAUCCGAAGGAGGAAACAGAGUCACAGCACCUCACACUAGCCAUUGAAUAGUGAAGGUCAAUUCCUUGGUGGGUCCCGGCGCAUUGUGCAUGAUCUUUUGAUUUUUUUAGCCAGCAGUUUGUCUAUGCUAUGCAUAUAUAGUGGUGGUUCUCGACGAUAUCCAGUUGUGCCUGCAAAAGCAUUCAGGCCAUGUUUGUCUCGCCAGCAUGGGCUUGUCACGACGGCGGGAAGGCUCAUCCCCAUUAAGACAGUUAAAGCUGCGAAGCUGAUUCAUCACCUGCUGGUCACUGAGGCGCCGGCAUGGGUAUUGGGAUCAAUGGAGAAGUGGGAGAGAGCCUUCUUUUGGGCAGGUACUGAUGAAAUCAAUGGCGGCAAAUGCCUUGUGACGUGGAGCAAAGUCGUUCAGCCAACCUGCGGUGGGGGACUAGGAAUUGAAACCUAAGGCUCCAGGGGCUUGCGCUUCGUGUGAGCUUGGGAGUGGCUGCGUUGUACUGACCCUGGAAAACCAUGGCAGGGAUUGCAAAUAUUUGGAGACGUUUCUGCAAGGCUCGUAUUUCAGUCAGGUUUGCAUUACAGUUGUGGGGUGGCAGGCACAUCUUAUUUUGGAGAGAUUGCUCGAUCAAUGGUUAUUCUGUUGCUGAGUUUUCGCCGCUAGUUCUGGAGUUCAUUCGGCUGCCCUGGUCUGUUGCUGGAGUUCAUUCGGCCAGCUUUGUGUACCGUUUGCUUACUAUCUUCACCGGUGCUGACUGCACAUGGAGAUGCUGGGCACCCUUAACCUGCAAGAUAAUUGCCUGGCUAGCGUAUACAAUAUCAGCUUUGGACCUGAAUGGGACAACUUCUGAUUAGCCGAACCAUACCUACCAAUGUAGGAACAGUGGCCAUGUUAUCAGCAUUUAUGGUCUUAUUUUGAUGUUUUUAAACUGUAUAUAUGUGGUUAUAUGAUUCAACCACUACAUGGUGAGUGCAAAUAAGUACUCUAUGUAACUUAUCAUAAUAUACACAGAUUUACUCUUGAUCAUUGGUCUCUCUUCCAUUCACUUUUGCGUCGAUGCGAAUGGCGACUGUGAAGUUAUGGUGGUGCUCUUGGA
rnacentral:rRNA from 1 species